UAAGGAAUAUUGGUCAAUGGACGCAAGUCUGAACCAGCCAUGCCGCGUGAAGGAUGAAGGUCCUCUGGAUUGUAAACUUCUUUUAUCUGGGACGAAAACGGGAUUUUUAUCUCAAUUGACGGUACCAGAGGAAUAAGCACCGGCUAACUCCGUGCCAGCAGCCGCGGUAAUACGGAGGGUGCGAGCGUUAUCCGGAUUUACUGGGUGUAAAGGGCGCGCAGGCGGGAUAAAAAGUCAGUGGUGAAAUCCUACAGCUUAACUGUAGAACUGCCUUUGAUACUUUUAUUCUUGAGUUCGGGAGAGAGAGACGGAAUUCCAGGUGUAGUGGUGAAAUACGUAGAUAUCUGGAAGAACACCAGUUGCGAAGGCGGUCUCUUGGUCCGACACUGACGCUGAGGCGCGAAAGCGUGGGGAGCAAACA
rnacentral:rRNA from 1 species